UCGGGAAUUUUGGGCAAUGGGCGAAAGCCUGACCCAGCAACGCCGCGUGAAGGAUGAAGUAUUUCGGUAUGUAAACUUCGAAAGAAUGGGAAGAAUCAAUGACGGUACCAUUUAUAAGCUCCGGCUAACUACGUGCCAGCAGCCGCGGUAAUACGUAGGGAGCAAGCGUUGUUCGGAUUUACUGGGCGUAAAGGGCGCGUAGGCGGCGUGUCAAGUCGAUUGUGAAAUCUCCGGGCUUAACUCGGAACGGCCAAUCGAUACUGUCAUGCUAGAGUGCAGAAAGGGCAAUCGGAAUUCUUGGUGUAGCGGUGAAAUGCGUAGAUAUCAAGAGGAACACCUGAGGCGAAGGCGGGUUGCUAGGCUGACACUGACGCUGAGGCGCGAAAGCCAGGGGAGCAAA
rnacentral:rRNA from 1 species